UACAGAGGUCUCAAGCGUUGUUCGGAUUCAUUGGGCGUAAAGGGCGCGUAGGCGGCGAGGUAAGUCGGGUGUGAAAUCUCAGAGCUCAACUCUGAAACUGCACUCGAUACUGCUUUGCUAGAGGACUGGAGAGGAGAUUGGAAUUCACGGUGUAGCAGUGAAAUGCGUAGAGAUCGUGAGGAAGACCAGUGGCGAAGGCGGAUCUCCUGGACAGUUCCUGACGCUGAGGCGCGAAGGCCAGGGGAGCAAACGGG
rnacentral:rRNA from 1 species